AUUGAACGCUGGCGGCAGGCCUAACACAUGCAAGUCGAGCGGAUGAAGGGAGCUUGCUCCUGGAUUCAGCGGCGGACGGGUGAGUAAUGCCUAGGAAUCUGCCUGGUAGUGGGGGAUAACGUCCGGAAACGGGCGCUAAUACCGCAUACGUCCUGAGGGAGAAAGUGGGGGAUCUUCGGACCUCACGCUAUCAGAUGAGCCUAGGCCGGAUUAGCUAGUUGGUGGGGUAAAGGCCUACCAAGGCGACGAUCCGUAACUGGUCUGAGAGGAUGAUCAGUCACACUGGAAGUGAGACACGGACAUGACUCCUGAGGGAGGCAGCAGUGGGGAAUGUUGGACAAUGGGGGAAAGCCUGAUCCAGCCAUGCCGCGUGUGUGAAGAAGGUCUUCGGAUUGUAAAGCACUUUAAGUUGGGGGGAAGGGCAGUAAGUUAAUACCUUGCUGUUUUGACGUUACCAACAGAAUAAGCACCGGCUAACUUCGUG
rnacentral:rRNA from 1 species